GGGUGUGAUCAUACCAGCGUUAAUUCACUGAAUCCCAUCAGAACUCAACAGUUAAGUGCGCUUGGGUUAAAGUAGUACUGGGAUGGGUGACCUCCCAGGAAGUCCUAGUGUUGCACCCC
rnacentral:rRNA from 1 species